rnacentral:rRNA from 1 species
UGAGUUUGAUCCUGGCUCAGGAUGAACGCUAGCGGCGGGCUUAACACAUGCAAGUCGAACGGUAACGGUUCCUUCGGGAAGCCGACGAGUGGCGAACGGGUGCAUAACGCGUAUGCAACCUACCUUCAACUGGGGCAUAGCCCGAAGAAAUUCGGAUUAAUACCCCAUAACCUAUCGAAUGGCAUCAGGCAGAUAGCAAAGUUUCGGCGGUUGGAGAUGGGCAUGCGUCAGAUUAGUUAGUUGGUGGGGUAACGGCUUACCAAGGCGACGAUCUGUAGGGGGCUCGAGAGGGUGAUCCCCCACACUGGUACUGAGACACGGACCAGACUCCUACGGGAGGCAGCAGUGAGGAAUAUUGGACAAUGGAGGCAACUCUGAUCCAGCUACGCCGCGUGCAGGAAUAAGGCCUUAUGGGUUGUAAACUGCUUUUUUACGGGAAUAAACCGCCCCACGAGCUGGGGCGCUGAAUGUACCGUACGAAUAAGUACCGGCUAACUCCGUGCCAGCAGCCGCGGUAAUACGGAGGGUACAAGCGUUAUCCGGAUUCAUUGGGUUUAAAGGGUCCGUAGGCGGGUUGAUCAGUCAGUGGUGAAAGCCGGCAGCUCAACUGCAGAACGGCCAUUGAUACUGUCAGCCUAGAGUGAGGUUGCAGCAGCUGGAAUAUGUGGUGUAGCGGUGAAAUGCAUAGAUAUCACAUGGAACACCGAUUGCGAAGGCAGGUUGCUAAGCCUUAACUGACGCUGAGGGACGAAAGCGUGGGUAGCGAACAGGAUUAGAUACCCUGGUAGUCCACGCCGUAAACGAUGAUUACUCGGUGCCGGAUUUAUUUUCGGUGCCCAAGCGAAAGUGAUAAGUAAUCCACCUGGGGAGUACGUUCGCAAGAAUGAAACUCAAAGGAAUUGACGGGGGCCCGCACAAGCGGUGGAGCAUGUGGUUUAAUUCGAUGGUACGCGAGGAACCUUACCAGGGUUUAAAUGCAGAGCGACUGCACUGGAAACAGGGCUUUCUUCGGACGAUCUGCAAGGUGCUGCAUGGUUGUCGUCAGCUCGUGCCGUGAGGUGUCAGGUUAAGUCCUAUAACGAGCGCAACCCCUAUCGUUAGUUGCCAGCGUGUCGAGACGGGGACUCUAACGAGACUGCCGGUGCAAACCGAGAGGAAGGUGGGGAUGACGUCAAAUCAUCACGGCCCUUACAUCCUGGGCUACACACGUGCUACAAUGGUCGGUACAGUGGGCAGCUACACCGCGAGGUGAUGCCAAUCUCUAAAGCCGAUCUCAGUUCGGAUCGCAGUCUGCAACUCGACUGCGUGAAGCCGGAAUCGCUAGUAAUCGCAAAUCAGCCAUGUUGCGGUGAGUACGUUCCCGGGCCUUGUACACACCGCCCGUCAAGCCAUGGAAGCUGGGGGUACCUGAAGUCGGUGACCGCGAGGAGCUGCCUAGGGUAAAAUCGGUAACUGGGGCUAAGUCGUAACAAGG